AGCUUUAUAUUCUAUUUAAGAUAUAAAAUUGCAAAUUUUAAGAAAUUAUAUACAUAUAUAUUAAGGCUU
rnacentral:tRNA from 1 species